GGUGUGGGGGGGUGGCUCCUCCUUCCCUAGCUACGAGCCAGGUCUGCAAACAGCAAGCCAAGCUCUUAAAUCAAGUGAUUUUGCACUUCUGAGGUUUUUUAAAAGCACAGAAGCUGAGCCCCAUAAAUAAUGCAGCAGAUAUCAGAAAGAAGCUCGAGGUGUAGAAGACAUAGCGGUAAUCACUGGUUAUGUCUACCAGGAGACCUGAAAUGGAAGCCAAAGAGAAGAUGCACACUAAAGGCAUAAAUUGACAUGAAUGUUAAACCUAAAUAAUUCAGUAAAUUGCCAUACACAAAA